rnacentral:lncRNA from 1 species
GUGCAAAACAUUGUAGCUUGGCUAAAUAUUUAAAUUGAUAAGACAUGCCGUAUUUUUGUAUUAUAAUACGCACUCGCUUAAUCUUUCAACUGCAUGUGGUUUUUUUUUAUGUGUUAUGUGUAUGUCUUUAUACGUUAUCUUUAUACGUAAAAUUUAUAUUAUUUUUUUUUUGCUUGUACUUUUUUUUCGUACUUUGUAGAUAAUUUAUUCUAUGAUAUCGUGCUCUAAAGUUGAUAUAUCUAUGACACGGAAUAAGGUUAAAUGAUGGUUGUGUAACGUCCAGUGGCAAAAAGGUGAUGCAUGUUCAGGACGAUGGACGGUUAUGAGUAUGGCAUUUGUUGAAACAUUAAAUCAAAGAGCUGAAGUUCUUUAUGUUCAGCAGUGUUCGAAACGUUCACAUGGGGUUUUGCUAUUGGUUUGUAAAGAACUGUGUGUACAGCAAAUUUUUAUGCAAAGCUUUGGAAAUAGUUGUAAAAAGAAAUUUAUUUAUUUGUCAAAUACUUGCCGAGAUACAAAAUAAAUAGUCAAAACUUUUACACGUUACCUGUUUGUUUCUCUUGUUAUUUUUUUCAGAAUGUUUAUUGAGAACAUUAGAUAAAAAUAGGCAAUAGGUAGUGAAUUUCUUGGUGGCAUAUUUUUUACUCCUGGAACAUCACCAUGAACAUUGUGUUGCUGUAUUGGUUCUGGAAUGUAAACACGGAACCACGGAGCUUCCGCGGCCAUCAUGAAAACGCCGUCAAUGCUUUGUGACGUCAUUGCCUUUGUGAUGCCGUUAACGACAGAGCCGAAAAUAACAAAGCCGAAAAAUCGGCUCUUGGCACUACACAAGGAAUCGAUAAAAGCCG